GCGGGGGGACCACCCUAAGGCCAGACUAAUGUCAAUGCCUUAUUGAGAAGCCUUUUUACCACAUAGCCGUUGACAUUGUGGGUCCCUUAGCCAGACCUAGUCCAUCCGGGAAGAAGUACAUUCUUAUCAUGGUGGACUAUGCCACACAUUACCCAGAGGCAGUAGCACUGUCCAAUAUUGGCAGAAACUGUAGAGGUAUGCACAUGCAAAAUCCUGGAAGCCAUCGAGUAGCCUUUCCACCAUACGUUGGAAGGUAGC